GAUGAACGCUGGCGGCGUGCCUAAUACAUGCAAGUCGAACGCGAGCAGCAAUGCUCGAGUGGCGAACGGGUGAGUAAUACAUAAGUAACCUGCCCUAGACAGGGGGAUAACUACGCGAAAGCGUAGCUAAUACCGCAUACGCCCUACGGGGGAAAGGAGGGGAUCUGCAAGGACCUUUCACUAUUGGAGCGGCCGAUAUCGGAUUAGCUAGUUGGUGAGGUAACGGCUCACCAAGGCGACGAUCCGUAGCUGGUUUGAGAGGACGACCAGCCACACUGGGACUGAGACACGGCCCAG
rnacentral:rRNA from 1 species